rnacentral:rRNA from 1 species
AUUGAACGCUGGCGGCAGGCCUAACACAUGCAAGUCGAACGAGUGGCGGACGGGUGAGUAAUGUCUGGGAAACUGCCUGAUGGAGGGGGAUAACUACUGGAAACGGUAGCUAAUACCGCAUACCAUCGGAUGUGCCCAGAUGGGAUUAGAUAGUAGGGGGGGUAAAGGCUCACCUAGGCGACGAUCCCUAGCUGAUCUGAGAGGAUGACCAGCCACAAUGGAACUGCGACACGGGCCAGACUCCGACGUGAGGCAGCAGUGGGGAAUAUUGCACAAUGGGCGCAAGCCUGAUGCAGCCAUGCCGCGUGUAUGAAGAAGGCCUUCGUGUUGUAAAGUACUUGCAUCGGGGAGGCGUUACCCGCAGAAGAAGCACCGGCUAACGCCGGGCCAGCAGCCGCGGUAAUUC